rnacentral:rRNA from 1 species
AAAUUGAAGAGUUUGAUCAUGGCUCAGAUUGAACGCUGGCGGCAGGCCUAACACAUGCAAGUCGAACGGUAACAGGAAGCAGCUUGCUGCUUUGCUGACGAGUGGCGGACGGGUGAGUAAUGUCUGGGAAACUGCCCGAUGGAGGGGGAUAACUACUGGAAACGGUAGCUAAUACCGCAUAACGUCGCAAGACCAAAGAGGGGGACCUUAGGGCCUCUUGCCAUCGGAUGUGCCCAGAUGGGAUUAGCUAGUAGGUGG